GAUGAACGCUGGCGGCGUGCCUAAUACAUGCAAGUCGAGCGAACAGACGAGGAGCUUGCUCCUCUGACGUUAGCGGCGGACGGGUGAGUAACACGUCGAUAACCUACCUAUAAGACUGGGAUAACUUCGGGAAACCAGUGCUAAUACCGGAUAAUAUAUUCAACCGCAUGGUUCAAUAGUGUAAGACGGAUUUGCUGUCCCUUAUACAUGGAUCCGCGCCGCAUUAGUUAGUUGGUAAGGUAACGGCUUACCAAGGCGACGAUGCGUAGCUGACCUGGGAGGGGGAUCGGCCACACUAGAACUGAAACACGGUCCAGACUCCUACGGGAGGCAGCAGUAGGGAAUCUUCCACAAUGGGCGAAGGCCUGGCGGGGCAACGCCACGUGAGUUAUGAAAGUCUUCGGAUCGUAAAACUCUGUUAUUAGGGAAGAACAAUUGUGUAAGUAACUAUGCACGUCUUGACGGUACCUAAUCAGAAAGCCACGGCUAACUCCGUG
rnacentral:rRNA from 1 species